UCCAACUUCCCAAUAUUUGGUAGCAGAACCGCAAACCUAUACACACGCACACAAACAAAGAGCAAGAAAGAGAGAAGAAGAAGAAGAAUUUGCAGUUUGUGUAUUACAGUAUAUAAAAGUUUACACAAUAGCGGAUUGCUCAGUUUAACGCUACACCCAAUUUCAGACACCACACCACAUGGACGAGGACAUCAAAAAACCGGGACAAAAACUCUGAUUCUUUAUUUUUGGACGCCCUUAGCGAGAAGAGAUACAUCCGCUUCUGAUUUUCUAAUUCGGACCCCAACAUAUCAAAUGGUAGACCUUCUCCGCCUUCUCCGCUUCCCUCCUCCUCUUCUCCUCCAAGCUCACCCUUUUGGCGGAGUCCGCCGCCCCCGAGAACCGCCUCACUUGGUUACGCAUGCCCCCAUCCUUCUUGGCCGCCGGCUGCAGAGACUUCAACCCGCCGUCGACUUUGGGGCCCUGCUCCUUGACGGACUGGAGGACCCUCGCCCCCGCGCUCACACAGAACCUGCUCAUGUACCUCAAACUCAUGAUCCUUCAAUUCACCCACCAAGAUCAAUGGAAGAACCAACGGAAGACUCGAUCUCGAUCUCGAUCUGCCACUGGUGUUUUGACGAAAAGGCCAGACCGGGGGAGUUCUUAUUUAUAGUGUUCCAUUGGUCUAAAACAAAGGCGGGUUUUUCUUAAACCGACCGCUGUUUCCCCGCAGUGGUUUUCCUGUUCAAGGCAUCGCCGCUGUCCUGUACAACGCGCCACAAGCUGGGGAGACUCUUUAGAAAAUAGUUUAUUGACGUUCGCCUGCGGCUAGGGCUGUUCAACGAGUCGAGCUACUCGAACUCGACUCGUUUAACUCGACUCGUAUGUUUAAACGAGCCGCUUAUUUAGUUAAACGAGUCGAGCUCGAGUUGAUGAGCCGACUCGUUUAAUUAAUCGAGUCGAGUUCGAGUUCAUGUAAGUGAACUCGUUAAAGCUCGAAUCGGCUCGAUUAUUUAGUGAACCGGUUUUUUUAAAACCGGUUCAGAUGAAAAAGCGUCAAAGCGGGACGAGGUUUAGGGUUUCCUCAUUUCAUUUUCGUUCUCGAAUCUCACUUCUCCCUCUCUUUUGAAGUUUUCGCUCUCUCCGACUCUCCCUCUCUCGCCAGUCGCCUCUCGAUCUCUCCGACUUCAUCAACUCUUCUCUUCUCUAGUUCUCCCGUCCGGGAUUCUCCGACGUCUGCAGGAGGAACCACCGAACCAAUCGUCCGCGGGCCGCGUCCGUGGGCCACUUCAGCCUUCAAGUGCAGAUUCAAGUUUAGAGGGCGUCCCUCGAUCUUCCUCUCCGGUUCUCUUUGAUGGAUCCGACAGUCCGGCAGCGAGCGGGUCUUUGCUCCUCCGGUUGAUUCCGUGAAUCGAAACUAGUCAAGGGCUUUCAGGUUGUAACACAAGUUGAGGAUGAAUCAAGUGAAUAUAUAUCAUUAGAAUGAUUCAAGCUGCCUCUUGAUGGAAAACUUCUUGAUGGUGAAGUUAAGCUAUUAAAGAAAGUUCGCAGUGGGGUACGGAGUUUCUCUCGUUUCUUAAGGGCUGAACAAACAUGUUAAUAGCAGGAAGAUUAUGUCAUGGAAGAUUUUGUGCUGCCUUUGUAUCAGCCGACUAGCCAUUGGCUAGUUCCAACAACGAGAUGCUUUCAUCUUACUUAAUGUUUGUAAGUUCUAUGGCAUGGGUGCCUUUGCUCGUGCCCUUCUUCAAUGUAAUUCUGUUUCCUUGAAGUGUGAGAAUUCUAGUUUUGGAUUGGUUGUCCAAAAUUACUGUUUUGCACUUGUUAAGGCAGUCGGCCUGUUGAUUUUAUGAUCUGUUGGGCCUGAUUUACAGGGUUUGUAAUGUACCCCAACUAGCAUUUAUCACGAUGCUCCAUGAAAUGAAUGUUUCAGCUAUGUAGUAACUGGUAACAGCACUUGGAUGUUUUAGGCGUUUCAUGUUAUUGUUCCAUUUUUGUCUC